rnacentral:rRNA from 1 species
AACGAACGCUGGCGGCGCGCCUAAUACAUGCAAGUCGAGCGAGAAGACGUAGCAAUACGUUUGUAAAGCGGCGAACGGGUGAGGAAUACAUGGGUAACCUACCCUCGAGUGGGGAAGUAACUAGCCGAAAGGUUAGCUAAUACCGCGUACGCUCCUUGGACUUCGGUUCAGGGAGGAAAGACGAUACCGUGGGUAUCGCGCUCUUGGAUGGGCUCAUGUCCUAUCAGCUUGUUGGUGAGGUAACGGCUCACCAAGGCUUCGACGGGUAGCUGGUCUGAGAGGACGAUCAGCCACACUGGCACUGCGACACGGGCCAGACUCCUACGGGAGGCAGCAGUAAGGAAUAUUGCGCAAUGGGCGAAAGCCUGACGCA